rnacentral:rRNA from 1 species
AGUGAACGCUGGCGGCGUGCUUAACACAUGCAAGUCGAACGAGAACGGUUUAUAGCUUGCUAUAAUUGUCAGCUAAGUGGCGCACGGGUGAGUAAUGUAUAGGUAAUAUGCCUCUUACUAAGGGAUAACAAAUGGAAACGUUUGCUAAUACCUUAUACUCCUUAUUAACAGAAGUUAAUAAGGGAAAGAUUUAUUGGUAAGAGAUUAGACUGUAUUGUAUCAGUUAGUUGGUGGGGUAAUGGCUUACCAAGACUAUGACACAUAACUGGUUUGGGAGGAUGAUCAGUCACACUGGAACUGAGACACGGUCCAGACUCCUACGGGAGGCAGCAGUGGGGAAUAUUGCACAAUGGACGAAAGUCUGAUGCAGCAACGCCGCGUGGAGGAUGACACAUUUCGGUGCGUAAACUCCUUUUAUAUGAGAAGAUAAUGACGGUAUUAUAUGAAUAAGCACCGGCUAACUCCGUGCCAGCAGCCGCAGUAA